CUACGGAGGGUGCGAGCGUUAAUCGGAAUUACUGGGCGUAAAGGGUCCGUAGGCGGUCUGCUUAGUCUGAUGUGAAAGCCCCGGGCUUAACCUGGGAAUGGCAUUGGAUACUGGCGGACUAGAGUCUGCUAGAGGGUGGUGGAAUUCCCGGUGUAGCGGUGAAAUGCGUAGAGAUCGGGAGGAACACCAGUGGCGAAGGCGGCCACCUGGACCAAGACUGACGCUGAGGGACGAAAGCGUGGGGAGCGAACAGAAUUAGAAACCCUAGUAGUCC
rnacentral:rRNA from 1 species